rnacentral:rRNA from 1 species
AUGGACCGAGUGGAGAAACCCUCCCCUUUGAAGGUGCUCCCGGAGGAGAAGGCGCACGUGAAGGUGUUGGUCGAUCGAGUGGUCCAGCUUAUUCGUGACGGGGUCACUGGUAUGGAUCUCUUCGAGGUCUUCCUUCAGCGGCGCAUCCAGCCUCUUCAAGCUCGAGACCAUCUGAUGUGGAUGUAUUCGGGUCUUGAAGACUCCACCUGGAUCCAUCCGGAGGAGGUCGACGACGACACACCGGAGAAGUGGCUGUCGGGCAUUACCGGGAACAAGGACAAUCCCAGGGGAGCCAGGAGAAUUCCCCCAUUCGACCAGUCUCAUGCACCAGAGCAGGCCAUUAUUGAAAUGUAUUCAAUGCCCAACGGGGAGCAAGAGCAAGUUCUGGAAGGCGAGGCGAGUGGCGGCGAAAGUGGUGAGUGGACUUCCGAUGGUGAAGGGGAUGGAGGAAGCGACGACUCAAGUGACGGAGAAGAAGUCGAGUCGCCCCCUCGCAGGGAGAGGUGA